AGAGUUUGAUCCUGGCUCAGGAUGAACGCUGGCGGCGUGCCUAACACAUGCAAGUCGAGCGAUGAAGCUUUUAAGAUUUCUUCGGAAUGAUUAUAAGUGGAUUAGCGGCGGACGGGUGAGUAACGCGUGGGCAACCUGCCUUAUACUAGAGGAUAGCUCCUGGAAACGGGUGGUAAUACUCUAUAAGCUUACGACAAGACAUCUUGAUGUAAGAAAAGGUUUACUGGUAUAAGAGGGGCCCGCGUCUGAUUAGAUAGUUGGUGGGGUAACGGCCUACCAAGUCAACGAUCAGUAGCCGACCUGAGAGGGUGAUCGGCCACAUUGGAACUGAGACACGGUCCAGACUCCUACGGGAGGCAGCAGUGGGGAAUAUUGCACAAUGGAGGAAACUCUGAUGCAGCAACGCCGCGUGAAGGAAGAAGUAUUUCGGUAUGUAAACUUCUAUCAGUAGGGAAGAAACAAAUGACGGUACCUAACUAAGAAGAACCGGCUAAAUACGUGCCAGCAGCCGCGGUAAUACGUAUGGUUCAAGCGUUAUCCGGAUUUACUGGGUGUAAAGGGUGAGUAGGCGGUUAUGCAAGUCAUAUGUGAAAUGUCGGGGCUCAACUCCGGCCUGCAUAAGAAACUGUAUAACUAGAGUGCAGGAGAGGCAAGCGGAAUUCCUAGUGUAGCGGUGAAAUGCGUAGAUAUUAGGAAGAACACCGGUGGCGAAGGCGGCUUGCUGGACUGUUACUGACGCUGAGUCACGAAAGCGUGGGGAGCAAACAGGAUUAGAUACCCUGGUAGUCCACGCCGUAAA
rnacentral:rRNA from 1 species